UACGGGGGGGGCAAGCGUUGUUCGGAAUUACUGGGCGUAAAGGGCUCGUAGGUGGCCAACUAAGUCAGACGUGAAAUCCCCAGGCUUAACCUGGGAACUGCGUCUGAUACUGGAUGGCUAGAGUUUGGGAGAGGGAUGCGGAAUUCCAGGUGUAGCGGUGAAAUGCGUAGAUAUCUGGAGGAACACCGGUGGUGUAGACGGCUUACUGGACCACGACUGACACUGAGGCACGAAAGCGUGGGUAGCAAACAGG
rnacentral:rRNA from 1 species